UCCAUGUGUAGCGGUGGAAUGCGUAGAUAUAUGGAAGAACACCAGUGGCGAAGGCGGCUGUCUAGUCUGUAACUGACGCUGAGGCUCGAAAGCAUGGGUAGCGAACAGGAUUAGAUACCCUGGUAGUCCAUGCCGUAAACGAUGAGUGCUAAGUGUUGGAGGGUUUCCCCCUUCAGUGCUGCAGCUAACGCAUUAAGCACUCCGCCUGGGGAGUACGACCGCAAGGUUGAAACUCAAAGGAAUUGACGGGGGCCCGCACAAGCGGUGGAGCAUGUGGUUUAAUUCGAAGCUACGCGAAGAACCUUACCAGGUCUUGACAUCUUCUGCCAAUCUUAGAGAUAAGACGUUCCCUUCGGGGACAGAAUGACAGGUGGCGCAUGGUUGUCGUCAGCUCGUGUCGUGAGAUGUUGGGUUAAGUCCCGCAACGAGCGCAACCCUUAUUAUCAGUUGCCAGCAUUCAGUUGGGCACUCUGGUGAGACUGCCGGUGACAAACCGGAGGAAGGUGGGGAUGACGUCAAAUCAUCAUGCCCCUUAUGACCUGGGCUACACACGUGCUACAAUGGACGGUACAACGAGUCGCGAAGUCGUGAGGCUAAGCUAAUCUCUUAAAGCCGUUCUCAGUUCGGAUUGUAGGCUGCAACUCGCCUACAUGAAGUUGGAAUCGCUAGUAAUCGCGGAUCAGCAUGCCGCGGUGAAUACGUUCCCGGGCCUUGUACACACCGCCCGUCACACCAUGAGAGUUUGUAACACCCAAAGCCGGUGAGAUAACCUUCGGGAGUCAGCCGUCUAAGGUGGGACAGAUGAUUAGGGUGAAGUCGUAACAAGGUAACCAAGGGCGAAUCG
rnacentral:rRNA from 1 species